rnacentral:rRNA from 1 species
AUGGCCAAUGAGGGCCUGAUCCCUCAUGGAGCUACAAGGCUUCCGGGGAAAGAGUGGCAGCCCCAGCCGGAAGAGGGUGAGUGCGUGCUUCUGGCUACCCAUGUCGACCGCGGAUUUUCUUUGCCGCCGAGCAUUUUCUUCCGUGGUUUCUUGAAUUUCUUUGGAGCGCAACUCCACCACUUCACCCCGAAUUCUAUCGCCUAUCUUGUCGCAUUUGUGUUCAUGUGUGAGAGUUUUCUGGGUUGUCGACCGGAUUGGGGCUUGUUCAAGCACAUAUUCACGUGUCGCUCUCAGACCGUGAAGAAGGUGAGCCCAGGCGACGAAAAAACCCGAGUUGUCCAAAUGUGUGGGGGUCUGGGGAUCCAAGUGAGGAACAAGAGGACCUUCCCAGCCAUGACAUUUCCCGAGUCAGUCAGAGGCUGGCAGUCGACCUGGUUCUACUGCCAGGAUCAGUCGACACCGGGGCAGUCGAGUGGACUCCCUCAGUUCACCAUGGGCCGAGUGAACAAGCCCUCCUCUCUGAAGGUGAUUCCGGAGGAGAAAGCUGACGUGAAGAUGCUGAUGGAGCGUGUAGUUCAGUUGGUUCGGGAGGGAGUGACGGGUAUG